AGGGAUGCUACCGGGCGACCGGAUGCGGAUCUCGAAAGCCUGUCCCAGUUCGGACUGGAGUCUGCAACCCGACUCCACGAAGUUGGAUUCGCUAGUAAUCGCGCAUCAGCCAUGGCGCGGUGAAUACGUUCCCGGGCCUUGUACACACCGCCCGUCAAGCCAUGGGAGCCGGGGGCGCCUGAAGUCCGGGACCGCAAGGAGCGCCCUAGGGUAAAACUGGUGACUGGGGCUAAGUCGUAACAAGGUACC
rnacentral:rRNA from 1 species